UACGUAGGGUGCAAGCGUUGAUCGGAAUUACUGGGCGUAAAGCGUGCGCAGGCGGUUUUGUAAGUCUGUCGUGAAAGCCCCGGGCUCAACCUGGGAAUUGCGAUGGAGACUGCAAGGCUUGAAUCUGGCAGAGGGGGGUAGAAUUCCACGUGUAGCAGUGAAAUGCGUAGAGAUGUGGAGGAACACCGAUGGCGAAGGCAGCCCCCUGGGUCAAGAUUGACGCUCAUGCACGAAAGCGUGGGGAGCAAACAGG
rnacentral:rRNA from 1 species